AUUGAACGCUGGCGGCAUGCCUUACACAUGCAAGUCGAACGGUAACGGGUCCUUCGGGAUGCCGACGAGAGGCGAACGGGUGAGUAAUAUAUCGGAACGUGCCCAGUAGUGGGGGACAACUGCUCGAAAGAGCAGCUAAUACCGCAUACGACCUGAGGGUGAAAGGGGGGGAUCGCAAGACCUCUCGCUAUUGGAGCGGCCGAUAUCAGAUUAGCUAGUUGGUGGGGUAAAGGCCUACCAAGGCAACGAUCUGUAGUUGGUCUGAGAGGACGACCAGCCACACUGGGACUGAGACACGGCCCAGACUCCUACGGGAGGCAGCAGUGGGGAAUUUUGGACAAUGGGCGAAAGCCUGAUCCAGCAAUGCCGCGUGCAGGAUGAAGGCCUUCGGGUUGUAAACUGCUUUUGUACGGAACGAAAAGCCCUGGGUUAAUACCCUGGGGUCAUGACGGUACCGUAAGAAUAAGCACCGGCUAACUACGUGCCAGCAGCCGCCGUAA
rnacentral:rRNA from 1 species